rnacentral:lncRNA from 1 species
AGAAAAUUAUUUACGUUGAACCGACAUCUGUUUCCCUACAACGUGCGCUUCUUGGAGCUGCACGGAAGAAAAUGUUCGCUGCUGCUUCCACAAAUAUUUGAGGACCGCGGGCACGUUUCCUUCCUCCACGUACUCCACAAGGCUUCCUUUCUUCAAGCAAAAGUCGCCUCGUUCUUCCAGACAGGGAGGCCGGAUGGGGUAGUGGAAAGAAGGCCGGCUGGAGCCAGGCACGU